GAUGAACGCUGGCGGCGUGGAUAAGGCAUGCAAGUCAAACGGCCCGCAAGGGCAGUGGCAGACGAGGUAGUAACACGUAGGUACGCACCCCAAAGUCAGGAAUAACUAGCCGAAAGGUUAGCUAAUACUUGAUGGUCUCGAAAGAGUAAAGAUUUAUCGCUUUGGGAGCGGCCUGCGGGAUAUCAGCUAGUUGGUAGGGUAAAAGCCUACCAAGGCUAUGACGUCUAGGGGAGGUGAGAGCCUGACCCCCACCGAUGGAACUGAGAUACGGUCCAUACACCUACGGGUGGCCGCAGUCGAGAAUCUUCCGCAAUGGGCGAAAGCCUGACGGAGCGACGCCGCGUGAUGGAUGAAGUGCUUCGGCAUGUAAACAUCUUUUAUAGGCAAGAAAGUAAUUGAUCAGCCUAAGAAUAAGGAGUUGCUAAACUCGUGCCAGCAGCAGCGGUAAUACGAGUGCUCCAAGCGUUAUCCGGAAUCAUUGGGCGUAAAGGGUGUGUAGGUGGUUGUGUUAGUCUUUUGUUAAAUUCUUCGGCUUAACCGGGGGCAUGCGAAAGAAACGGCACAACUAGAGGAUGCGAGAGGUAUAUGGAACUCAUGGAGUAGGGGUGAAAUCCGUUGAUAUCAUGGGGAACACCCAAAAGCGAAGGCAAUAUACUGGCGCACUCCUGACACUUGAGACACGAAAGCGUAGGUAGCGAAUGGGAUUAGAUACCCCAGUAGUCUACGCCCUAAACGAUCUUCUCUAGUUUUUCGGAGUAUCGACCCUCUGAGAGACGAAGCUAACGCGUUAAGAGAAGCGCCUGGGUAGUACGGCCGCAAGGCUAAAACUCAAAGGAAUAGACGGGGACUUGCACAAGCAGUGGAUUAUGUGGUUUAAUUCGACGGUAAACGAAGAACCUCACCCGGGUUUGAAACCUAGUUGAAGGUAUUUGGAAACUUAUACCGUCUCACAAGGACAAUUAGGCAGGUGAUGCAUGGCCGUCGUCAGUUCGUGGUUUGAAUUGUUCCCUUAAGUGGGGCAACG
rnacentral:rRNA from 1 species